AGAGUUUGAUCCUGGCUCAGGAUGAACGCUAGCGGCAGGCUUAACACAUGCAAGUCGAGGGCAGCGGGAUGUAGCAAUACAUUGCCGGCGACCGGCGGAUGGGUGCGUAACGCGUAUGCAACCUACCUUAUACAGGGGAAUAACCUUUCGAAAGGGAGACUAACACCCCAUGGUAUUGAUUUAAGGCAUCUUAGAUUAAUUAAAUAUUUAUAGGUAUAAGAUGGGCAUGCGUAUGAUUAGCUAGUUGGUAAGGUAACGGCUUACCAAGGCGACGAUCAUUAGGGGUUCUGAGAGGAAGGUCCCCCACACUGGUACUGAGACACGGACCAGACUCCUACGGGAGGCAGCAGUGAGGAAUAUUGGUCAAUGGGCGCAAGCCUGAACCAGCCAUGCCGCGUGCAGGAAAGACGGCCUUAUGGGUUGUAAAUUGCUUUUACAUAAGACUAACCGUAUAUUUGCGAAUAUACCUGAAUGUAUUAUGAGAAUAAGGAUCGGCUAACUCCGUGCCAGCAGCUGC
rnacentral:rRNA from 1 species